GACUAGUUAAUUCUCGCUAUAUUCUCGGCUCCUGAGAAGAAAAAUGGAACAAAAAGGAAAAGGGUGAGCUCAACUAGCCCAGUAAAGAAUAUUAUGACUAAGAUAAUGAACAACCAAUUAUCGUUAGCCUUCAACAAAUCAGAUAAAAUAUAAUAGAAAACAAGUUUUAGAUCAAUAUUCGCAGUGAAAAUAACAAUUCAUUAG
rnacentral:lncRNA from 1 species